UUGAAAGAUGAGCACUUUUAUUAUUCAGUUAUCCCUGGCAGAACUAUAUACUGUUGAUAACCCACCAACUCUGACAA
rnacentral:snoRNA from 1 species